CUCAAUACACACAAUAUAUAUUGUGUAUAUAAAAGAGGGACUCUCACUUUCCCCCAUUUACAAUUACAACCUCUCUUUGAAAUCUUAUCCCUCAAAUCAAGACGCCGGAAAAUGGUGGAUGUUUGCUGUUUGUGCGGCGACGUUGGCUUCUCCGACAAGCUUUUCCGGUGCUCCCACUGCCGCCACCGCUUCCAACAUUCGUAUUGUAGCAAUUACUAUAGUGAAUAUGGAGAGAGUAUUCAAGUAUGCGAUUGGUGCCAAUGCGAGAAAAAGAUUUCAUCAUCGGCGGAAUCAAGCAGCUCCGGCGAGAAAGGAGGAUCUCCGGCGGGAAAGGCCGCCGGAAAAGUAUCUUCUCCGCGGCAAGCAAUCCGAAGGUACAAGCUUCUCAAGGAUGUUAUGUGUUGAUCAAGAAAUCAACCCUUUUUAAUAGUAUUACUAUAUGUUUAUAUUUAGGUAGUGACAGUUACAAGUUUCCGACUUGUUUUUGAGUCAAUUACGACAUAUGCAAAAUAAAGACUUCAAUAUAAUUACACGACUUUUUUUUGGCUUUUGAUUGAA